rnacentral:misc_RNA from 1 species
GCAGAUUUUGAGGAUUUUGACUGGACCUUUGUCCUUGGAAUCUUUGGAGUUUCUAGUUGAUGAAGUUUGCAAGCCAGUUGAAGCAUUUUCAAAUAAAGCUGUGAACAUUGCCAAAGUAAAUCAGAGUUCUAUUUGGGCAAUUACAGUAACUUUCCCUUCUUGGUUCAUUUUCGCUUCUAUUUUACUCUUCUCAGAAAAGAGUUUGAGGGACAAGUACAGC